UUUAAGUACUUGUACUUGAGAUAGUGGCGAACGGGUGAGUAAUGCCUAGGAAUCUGCCUAUUAGCGGGGGAUAACGUUCGGAAACGGACGCUAAUACCGCAUACGCCCUACGGGGGAAAGCAGGGGAUCUUCGGACCUUGCACUAAUAGAUGAGCCUAGGUCAGAUUAGCUAGUUGGUGGGGUAAAGGCCUACCAAGGCGACGAUCUGUAGCGGGUCUGAGAGGAUGAUCCGCCACACUGGAACUGAGACACGGUCCAGACUCCUACGGGAGGCAGCAGUGGGGAAUAUUGGACAAUGGGCGCAAGCCUGAUCCAGCCAUGCCGCGUGUGUGAAGAAGGCCUUUUGGUUGUAAAGCACUUUAAGCGGGGAGGAGGGUGCUCUUGUUAAUACCAAGAAGUAUCGGACGUUACCCGCAGAAUAAGCACCGGCUAACUCUGUGCCAGCAGCCGCGGUAAUACAGAGGGUGCGAGCGUUAAUCGGAAUUACUGGGCGUAAAGCGCGCGUAGGCGGUUAUUUAAGUCGGAUGUGAAAUCCCCGAGCUCAACUUGGGAAUUGCAUUCGAUACUGGUAGCUAGAGUAUGGGAGAGGAAGGUAGAAUUCCAGGUGUAGCGGUGAAAUGCGUAGAGAUCUGGAGGAAUACCGAUGGCGAAGGCAGCCUUCUGGCCUAAUACUGACGCUGAGGUGCGAAAGCAUGGGGAGCAAACAGGAUUAGAUACCCUGGUAGUCCAUGCCGUAAACGAUGUCAACUAGCCGUUGGGGCCUUUGAGGCUUUAGUGGCGCAGCUAACGCGAUAAGUUGACCGCCUGGGGAGUACGGUCGCAAGACUAAAACUCAAAUGAAUUGACGGGGGCCCGCACAAGCGGUGGAGCAUGUGGUUUAAUUCGAUGCAACGCGAAGAA
rnacentral:rRNA from 1 species